AAGUCGUAACAAGGUUUCCGUAGGUGAACCUGCGGAAGGAUCAUUAAAUGAAAAGCUGGUUUACCAGUAUACGGCCCCUGGGUUUGUUUCUGACAAGCGCCAGGAUCAGUCGUCAUUUAUACCCAUGUUUUUUGCGUACUACUUGUUUCCUUGGUAGGCUUGCCUACCAUUAGGACCACACAAAACCUUUUGUAAUUGCAGUCAGCGUCAGAAAUAACUUAAUAGUUACAACUUUCAACAACGGAUCUCUUGGUUCUG
rnacentral:misc_RNA from 1 species